rnacentral:rRNA from 1 species
GAGUUUGAUCUUGGCUCAGAUUGAACGCUGGCGGCAUGCCUUACACAUGCAAGUCGAGCGGCAGCACGGGGGCGAACCCUGGUGGCGAGUGGCGAACGGGUGAGUAAUACAUCGGAACGUGCCCAGUCGUGGGGGAUAACGUAGCGAAAGCUACGCUAAUACCGCAUACGAUCUCUGGAUGAAAGCGGGGGACCGCAAGGCCUCGCGCGAUUGGAGCGGCCGAUGGCAGAUUAGGUAGUUGGUGGGGUAAAGGCUCACCAAGCCGACGAUCUGUAGCUGGUCUGAGAGGACGACCAGCCACACUGGGACUGAGACACGGCCCAGACUCCUACGGGAGGCAGCAGUGGGGAAUUUUCCGCAAUCGACGCAAGUCGGACGGAGCAACGCCGCGUGCGGAAGACGGCCCUCGGUUGUAACCGCUUUUGUGAGGGAAGAAGAUCUGCGGUACCUCACGAAUAAGUCACGGCUAACUACGUGCCAGCCGCCGCGGU